rnacentral:lncRNA from 1 species
CUUCUAAUUAAGGUUGAAUUUCGAAUUUAAUCACCACAAAAUCACCAUGUGACCCUCUAAUCUGAUUGGGGGCAUGGGAAUUUCGAAAUUGAAAGAGGAAAGUGGCAACAUGAUGAAUGGUUUAGAUUAGAUCAAGCUUCAUCAUGUAAUGGCACAUGAACUUGAAUUUUGAAUUUAAAAUUCAAAACCCCACAAAAUCCUCCACAAAUAUGGGAUGGUUGGCAUGAAGUUAGAGGAGAUAGCAACAUUAAAAGGACCUCCAUCAGCUGGUGGUCGAAUUCAAGGAAAAAAGAGAGAAAAAGAA